rnacentral:rRNA from 1 species
UAGGGAAUCUUCCACAAUGGACGCAAGUCUGAUGGAGCAACGCCGCGUGAGUGAAGAAGGUUUUCGGAUCGUAAAGCUCUGUUGUUGGUGAAGAAGGAUAGAGGCAGUAACUGGUCUUUAUUUGACGGUAAUCAACCAGAAAGUCACGGCUAACUACGUGCCAGCAGCCGCGGUAAUACGUAGGUGGCAAGCGUUGUCCGGAUUUAUUGGGCGUAAAGCGAGCGCAGGCGGAAUGAUAAGUCUGAUGUGAAAGCCCACGGCUCAACCGUGGAACUGCAUCGGAAACUGUCAUUCUUGAGUGCAGAAGAGGAGAGUGGAACUCCAUGUGUAGCGGUGGAAUGCGUAGAUAUAUGGAAGAACACCAGUGGCGAAGGCGGCUCUCUGGUCUGCAACUGACGCUGAGGCUCGAAAGCAUGGGUAGCGAACAGGAUUAGAUACCCUGGUAGUCCAUGCCGUAAACGAUGAGCGCUAGGUGUUGGGGACUUUCCGGUCCUCAGUGCCGCAGCAAACGCAUUAAGCGCUCCGCCUGGGGGAGUACGACC